rnacentral:lncRNA from 12 species
AUUAUGAUGGCAUUUAGAACACAGAGUGUACAUAAUACAUACCGAUUAAAUCCAAUAUUACUUCAACAAAGAAUUAUGGCCAAUAUUUAAAUCUCUAUGACUCUGGAAUGAUUACUGGAACCUAGCAGGAUUAGAUGUUAUCUUUGCAUCCAAAUUAAAAGCAUAAAUCACUACAAAAUAACAUAUGGAAGGAGCAAUGUUAUUUUGUCCUUGUCCCUGUCACAGCAGGCUUAUUGCUUUGAGAAGUAUGCCAGCAUUUACAAAUGGACUAAGAUACUGGCUUUGUGUCCAGAGUGUGGUCUCCCUAUUUAAUGACAUGGGACUUCAAGAACUCCAGAGCAAAGAAUUCAGAACCAGACUUCUACCAUGCAAAAUGGCAUUCAACUGGAGACAGAAAAAACUGGAAUGAUGGGAAGAAUGCCCAGAAGAUCUCCUGGUAUCAUCAUCUAAAGGAA